rnacentral:misc_RNA from 1 species
GUUGAAGAUCCCAACAUGUAAAAUUUCCCCUCAUCUCUCGUCAUCUUCUCUAAGCAAUUCUAACUUUCAUUGUUAGCAUUUUCUAAUUGUGCAUAUUAGCUGCUCUUUCAAAUAAUUUGUCGUUAGUAAAGGUAAUUUUUUUCUGUAAAUUACCCAUCACUCUGCUUGGAGAGCUCGAUUAGAGAGACUUCAUGGAUUUUAGUUCAUUUCACGUUGUGGCGUUGAAAAAUACUUGCUUUUUUAAUGAUGAAAUUUUUGCAUAAAUGUUAAUUCGUCACUGAUGUUUA